CACGUAGUUAGUCGUGACUUUCUGGUUGGAUACCGUCACUGCGUGAACAGUUACUCUCACGCACGUUCUUCUCCAACAACAGAGCUUUACGAGCCGAAACCCUUCUUCACUCACGCGGUGUUGCUCCAUCAGGCUUGCGCCCAUUGUGGAAGAUUCCCUACUGCUGCCUCCCGUAGGAGUAUGGACCGUGUCUCAGUUCCAUUGUGGCCGAUCAGUCUCUCAACUCGGCUAUGCAUCAUCGCCUUGGUAAGCCGUUACCUUACCAACUAGCUAAUGCACCGCAGGUCCAUCCCAGAGUGAUAGCCAAAGCCAUCUUUCAAACAAAGCCAUGUGUCUUUGUGUUAUGCGGUAUUAGCAUCUGUUUCCAAAUGUUACUCCCCCGCUCCGAGGCAGGUUACCUACGUCGUUACUCCACCCGUCCGCCACUCACGUGGUGACUCCGAACGUCAAUCGAGGUCGACAACGCCACCGAUACCUAAAGUUUACGGUU
rnacentral:rRNA from 1 species